CUGGCUACAACUUCGAGAAACUUUGGCUAUAGCACAGUGUGGCAAAUAGAUCCCAGAAUAUAUGUCAGGAACACUGUGUGAGGAAGAAGGGGAUUGUCUUCUCUCUGAGAAUGUGUUUACUCUGGGUUGGUGACUGUCUGAAACCUCUGCAAAUUUGGUCUCCUGAUCUGGCAACCUCUUCUGCUUUUGCAGACUUCAUCUUCCCAUAGAUUGUCUUUGGGGAAUUUUUCUCAAGUCCUGCAGGCCCGGAGGAGUGCUUCAUCUUAUUCUUCUGGCCUGGUUUUUGACAGAGUGCUUCCCUUAAAUCCAUCCACCGCUCAGCUGUUCACAGCUCCCUGAUUCAUACCAGCCUGCUCUGCCUGCGUGAGCACUGUGCUGGUUCCCGUGGCCAAGCUUUUGCAGCUGAUGCUCUUCAUCUCAGGAGGUCAACUGGGGCACCGGGAGGGAAAGUUAUAGACAGAUGGGCCCCCAUGUCCGCUUUUCCUGAGGUGGUACCAGCUAUGGUUUCUGAUUACAGUCAAAUAAAUGCAGUGGAUGCUCAGGUAUACAUGCAAAUGCCGGGUGUUCCCCAGGUGAACCCAGCUGCAGCAGGAGACCACCAUAAACUGCACUGCUGAGACCUAAAAAGAGCGUCUAUGAAAUUAAUUGGGGCUUUCAAAUAAAAGGCAUGUAAUGUAAAACUGAUAAAUCCAUUAAAUGUAUAUUACGGCUGCAGUUGCUUUGUUCAGGCAAAAGAUUAAUUUGUGGAACAGUUUGCUAUUG